GAUGAACGCUAGCGGCAGGCCUAAUACAUGCAAGUCGAGGGGCAUCGGGUGUAGCAAUACAUGCCGGCGACCGGCGCACGGGUGCGUAACACGUAUGUAAUCUGCCCAUCACAGGAGGAUAGCCCGGAGAAAUUCGGAUUAAUACUCCAUAACAAAUUGAGUGGCCUCACUUGAUUUUGAAAGUUCCGACGGUGAUGGAUGAACAUGCGACUGAUUAGUUAGUUGGUGAGGUAACGGCUCACCAAGACCACGAUCAGUAGGGGUACUGAGAGGUUAAACCCCCACACUGGUACUGAGACACGGACCAGACUCCUACGGGAGGCAGCAGUAAGGAAUAUUGGACAAUGGCCGCAAGGCUGAUCCAGCCAUGCCGCGUGCAGGAAGACGGACCUAUGGUUUGUAAACUGCUUUUGAACUAGAGAAAAACCCCCUUACGUGUAAGGGGCUGAUAGUAUAGUUAGAAUAAGCAUCGGCUAAACUUCGUGCCAGCAGCCGCGGUAAU
rnacentral:rRNA from 1 species